GUGGGGAAUAUUGCACAAUGGGGGGAACCCUGAUGCAGCGACGCCGCGUGAGUGAAGAAGUAUUUCGGUAUGUAAAGCUCUAUCAGCAGGGAAGAAAAUGACGGUACCUGACCAAGAAGCACCGGCUAAAUACGUGCCAGCAGCCGCGGUAAUACGUAUGGUGCAAGCGUUAUCCGGAUUUACUGGGUGUAAAGGGAGCGCAGGCGGUGCGGCAAGUCAGAUGUGAAAGCCCGGGGCUCAACCCCGGGACUGCAUUUGAAACUGCCGGACUAGAGUAUCGGAGAGGCAAGUGGAAUUCCUAGUGUAGCGGUGAAAUGCGUAGAUAUUAGGAGGAACACCAGUGGCGAAGGCGGCUUGCUGGACGACUACUGACGCUGAGGCUCGAAAGCGUGGGGAGCAAACAGGAUUAGAAACCCGAGUAGUCC
rnacentral:rRNA from 1 species